rnacentral:lncRNA from 1 species
AGCUUGUGGAAGGGGCCUCUGGGUGGCAGCUCUGGGCUUUUGGGUGUUGGACAACCAUAGGCAAAACUGAAAUGGAACAGGGGCAGAAAAUAGCACACUUUUACUCUACGCAACUGUUGCUUUUUCAUGAUCUUCAGGAAUUUUACUGGGAUAAUUAUCCAAAUAAAUUGCAAGCAUUCUAUCCAAAUGGACAUCCAUAAAAAUUCAUCAGAGAGCAUUUUACUACUGAGCUGCAAAGGGAAAAACUUAAAAUGGAUAUGAAAAGUGAAGAAAGUGAUCAUAGGAGAAAACCAUUUCAGAUAUCUGUGGAUAUCUCUCCAGAACUUCAUGUAUAUGUGUCUGAUGAUUUGUGAGCCUCAAGUGACUACUCUGUGGAAUCAUCUGUCCUUGCCUUUGAAUUAGCUUUCCCUAGGCCAUGAGUCAACAUUAGUAGUUUAUACAUCCAAAUUGAUGACAAGAGCACCUCAAAGGCAGCAGCCUCAAGGAGCAGCCAUGGCCCCAGACUUGUCGCACGGAUGCAGAAAACUUAAUGGAGGAGGCUGAGGUCAGAAUGGGAAGAGUUUUUAAAAAAUAAAAAGGGGAGCUAAUAUGUGA